rnacentral:rRNA from 1 species
AACGAACGCUGGCGGCAGGCUUAACACAUGCAAGUCGAACGGUUGUAGCAAUACAGCAGUGGCGCACGGGUGAGUAACGCGUGGAUAUCUGCCUUUUGGUUCGGAAUAACUCCGGGAAACUGGAGCUAAUACCGGAUGGUUCCUACGGGAUAAAGAUUUAUCGCCAAAAGAUGAGUCCGCGUACGAUUAGCUAGUUGGUGGGGUAAUGGCCCACCAAGGCGACGAUCGUUAGCUGGUCUGAGAGGACGAUCAGCCACACUGGGACUGAGACACGGCCCAGACUCCUACGGGAGGCAGCAGUGGGGAAUAUUGGACAAUGGGGGCAACCCUGAUCCAGCCAUGCCGCGUGAGUGAUGAAGGCCUUCGGGUUGUAAAGCUCUUUUGGCGGGGACGAUGAUGACGGUACCCGCAGAAUAAGCCCCGGCUAACUUCGUGCCAGCAGCCGCAGUAAGAC